rnacentral:lncRNA from 1 species
CAGCGGAGAAAACCACCUUUAUGACAAUGAUAGUGCUAGGAUUACAGUUGUGCCUCAGCAUGUCCCACUGUAUUCUGUGCUGGAGAACAAACCCAUGGCUUCAUGAAUGCUGGCAAGCAGUGGACUAAGCUACAUUCCCAAGUCACUGGAACUUUAAACACAACAAAUACAAUAGCUAUUUCUUUAUUGAACAGCCACUGAGAAGGGGAAAAGAAACCCAUUCAGUAUCGUCUCGUCUUUACAACUCCCCUUCCAGCUUCUCUUCUGUGUUAUUAGACGCGUUCUCACGACCGG